rnacentral:tRNA from 1 species
GGGCGAUUAACUCAGCAGGCUAGAGUGCCAUCGUCACAAGGUGGAAGUCGUUGGUUCGAAUCCAAUAUCGCCCACCA